rnacentral:miRNA from 1 species
AAAUAGAUCUUGGCGUUAUGGG